UCUCACGCGGUAACCAUCUAAAGGGAAGCGCAUUCUGUUUUUUUCAGACACCAGAAAGCACUUCCCUCUAGAGGGUCACAGCAUGAGA
ensembl:miRNA